rnacentral:pre_miRNA from 1 species
CUCUUUGUAUUGGGAGAUCGAUGAGAUCGACCCUAACCGAGCCUAGAUAUCGAGAUUUGGUUUGGGUCAAUCUCACCAAUCUCCCAAUACUUUACA